GCAGGGCUGGUGGGGCCUGAGGCCAGUGAGGAGUGUGGAGUAGGCGCCCAGGCAUCGUGCAGACAGGGCGACAUCAGCUGGGGACGAUGGGCCUGAGCUAGGGCUGGAAAGAAGGGGGAGCCAGGCAUUCAUCCCGGUCACUUUUGGUUACAGGACGUGGCAGCUGGUUGGACGAGGGGAGCUGGUGGGCAGGGUUUGAUCCCAGGGCCUGGGCAACGGAGGUGUAGCUGGCAGCAGCGGGCAGGUGAGGACCCCAUCUGCCGGGCAGGUGAGUCCCUUCCCUCCCCAGGCCUCGCUUCCCCAGCCUUCUGAAAGAAGGAGGUUUAGGGGAUCGAGGGCUGGCGGGGAGAAGCAGACACCCUCCCAGCAGAGGGGCAGGAUGGGGGCAGGAGAGUUAGCAAAGGUGACAUCUUCUCGGGGGGAGCCGAGACUGCGCAAGGCUGGGGGGUUAUGGGCCCGUUCCAGGCAGAAAGAGCAAGAGGGCAGGGAGGGAGCACAGGGGUGGCCAGCGUAGGGUCCAGCACGUGGGGUGGUACCCCAGGCCUGGGUCAGACAGGGACAUGGCAGGGGACACAGGACAGAGGGGUCCCCAGCUGCCACCUCACCCACCGCAAUUCAUUUAGUAGCAGGCACAGGGGCAGCUCCGGCACGGCUUUCUCAGGCCUAUGCCGGAGCCUCGAGGGCUGGAGAGCGGGAAGACAGGCAGUGCUCGGGGAGUUGCAGCAGGACGUCACCAGGAGGGCGAAGCGGCCACGGGAGGGGGGCCCCGGGACAUUGCGCAGCAAGGAGGCUGCAGGGGCUCGGCCUGCGGGCGCCGGUCCCACGAGGCACUGCGGCCCAGGGUCUGGUGCGGAGAGGGCCCACAGUGGACUUGGUGACGCUGUAUGCCCUCACCGCUCAGCCCCUGGGGCUGGCUUGGCAGACAGUACAGCAUCCAGGGGAGUCAAGGGCAUGGGGCGAGACCAGACUAGGCGAGGCGGGCGGGGCGGAGUGAAUGAGCUCUCAGGAGGGAGGAUGGUGCAGGCAGGGGUGAGGAGCGCAGCGGGCGGCGAGCGGGAGGCACUGGCCUCCAGAGCCCGUGGCCAAGGCGGGCCUCGCGGGCGGCGACGGAGCCGGGAUCGGUGCCUCAGCGUUCGGGCUGGAGACGAGGCCAGGUCUCCAGCUGGGGUGGACGUGCCCACCAGCUGCCGAAGGCCAAGACGCCAGGUCCGGUGGACGUGACAAGCAGGACAUGACAUGGUCCGGUGUGACGGCGAGGACAGAGGAGGCGCGUCCGGCCUUCCUGAACACCUUAGGCUGGUGGGGCUGCGGCAAGAAGCGGGUCUGUUUCUUUACUUCCUCCACGGAGUCGGCACACUAUGGCUGCCCUCUGGGCUCCCAGAACCCACAACAUGAAAGGUGAAGCUAGAGGAACCAGACCUCAUCAGCCCAACAUCAAAGACACCAUCGGAACAGCAGCGCCCGCAGCACCCACCCCGCACCGGCGACUCCAUCUUCAUGGCCACCCCCUGCGGCGGACGGUUGACCACCAGCCACCACAUCAUCCCAGAGCUGAGCUCCUCCAGCGGGAUGACGCCGUCCCCACCACCUCCCUCUUCUUCUUUUUCAUCCUUCUGUCUCUUUGUUUCUGAGCUUUCCUGUCUUUCCUUUUUUCUGAGAGAUUCAAAGCCUCCACGACUCUGUUUCCCCCGUCCCUUCUGAAUUUAAUUUGCACUAAGUCAUUUGCACUGGUUGGAGUUGUGGAGACGGCCUUGAGUCUCAGUACGAGUGUGCGUGAGUGUGAGCCACCUUGGCAAGUGCCUGUGCAGGGCCCGGCCGCCCUCCAUCUGGGCCGGGUGACUGGGCGCCGGCUGUGUGCCCGAGGCCUCACCCUGCCCUCGCCUAGUCUGGAAGCUCCGACCGACAUCACGGAGCAGCCUUCAAGCAUUCCAUUACGCCCCAUCUCGCUCUGUGCCCCUCCCCACCAGGGCUUCAGCAGGAGCCCUGGACUCAUCAUCAAUAAACACUGUUACAGCAA
ensembl:lncRNA H19 H19 imprinted maternally expressed transcript